rnacentral:snRNA from 1 species
GUGCUGGCUUCCAUAGCACAUAUACUAAAAUUGACACAAUACAGAGAUUAGCAUGGCCCCUGCACAAGGAUGACACACAAAUUUGUGAUGCGUUCCAUAUUUAA